GAUGAACGCUGGCGGCGUGCCUAAUACAUGCAAGUCGAGCGAACGGACGAGAAGCUUGCUUCUCUGAUGUUAGCUUCGGACGGGUGAGUAACACGUGGAUAACCUACCUAUAAGACUGGGAUAACUUCGGGAAACCGGAGCUAAUACCGGAUAAUAUUUUGAACCGCAUGGUUCAAAAGUGAAAGACGGUCUUGCUGUCACUUAUAGAUGGAUCCGCGCUGCAUUAGCUAGUUGGUAAGGUAACGGCUUACCAAGGCAACGAUGCAUAGCCGACCUGAGAGGGUGAUCGGCCACACUGGAACUGAGACACGGUCCAGACUCCUACGGGAGGCAGCAGUAGGGAAUCUUCCGCAAUGGGCGAAAGCCUGACGGAGCAACGCCGCGUGAGUGAUGAAGGUCUUCGGAUCGUAAAACUCUGUUAUUAGGGAAGAACAUAUGUGUAAGUAACUGUGCACAUCUUGACGGUACCUAAUCAGAAAGCCACGGCUAACUACGUGCCAGCAGCCGCGGUAAUACGUACGUGGCAAGCGUUAUCCCGAAUUAUUGGGCGUAAAGCGCGCGUCAGCCGUUUUUUAAGUCUGAUGUGAAAGCCCACGGCUCAACCGUGGAGGGUCAUUGGAAACUGGAAAACUUGAGUGCAGAAGAGGAAAGUGGAAUUCCAUGUGUAGCGGUGAAAUGCGCAGAGAUAUGGAGGAACACCAGUGGCGAAGGCGACUUUCUGGUCUGUAACUGACGCUGAUGUGCGAAAGCGUGGGGAUCAAACAGGAUUAGAUACCCUGGUAGUCCGCGCCGUAAACGAUGAGUGCUAAGUGUUAGGGGGUUUCCGCCCCUUAGUGCUGCAGCUAACGCAUUAAGCACUCCGCCUGGGGAGUACGACCGCAAGGUUGAAACUCAAAGGAAUUGACGGGGACCCGCACAAGCGGUGGAGCAUGUGGUUUAAUUCGAAGCAACGCGAAGAACCUUACCAAAUCUUGACAUCCUUCGACAACUCUAGAGAUAGAGCUUUCCCCUUCGGGGGACAAAGUGACAGGUGGUGCAUGGUUGUCGUCAACUCGUGUCGUGAGAUGUUGGGUUAAGUCCCGCAACGAGCGCAACCCUUAAGCUUAGUUGCCAUCAUUAAGUUGGGCACUCUAAGUUGACUGCCGGUGACAAACCGGAGGAAGGUGGGGAUGACGUCAAAUCAUCAUGCCCCUUAUGAUUUGGGCUACACACGUGCUACAAUGGACAAUACAAAGGGCAGCGAAACCGUGAGGUCAAGCAAAUCCCAUAAAGUUGUUCUCAGUUCGGAUUGUAGUCUGCAACUCGACUACAUGAAGCUGGAAUCGCUAGUAAUCGUAGAUCAGCAUGCUACGGUGAAUACGUUCCCGGGUCU
rnacentral:rRNA from 1 species